GCUAGCGUAGCUUAACUAAAAGCAUAGCACUGAAGAUGCUAAGAUGGAUCCUAAAAAAUUCCGCAUGCA
rnacentral:tRNA from 1 species